CAACUGAGAAGGACCUGAACAGUCUUCCAUGCACAUCACGGGUCAGAGUAAAGAUUAUCCAUCAAAAAUGGAGAAGAUGUCAUGGGAUCCAGCCGAGCUGACACAAGUUAUCAUAAUUGGAAUCUUUCAAACAUGUUGAUAACCAAACAUGUACAAGAGAAAACCCAGGUGACAGGAAAUUCUGAAGACAAGCUAGGAGGGUGACUCCAUAGAAGAAUCUAAAAAAGAGGCAGCCACUGAAACUUCAGGAAACUGAAAGAAUUCGCCAUCACACCACUGUUCAGAUUGACAGAUGUUUCCAGAAGGCAAGCAUGAAUACCAGGACUGAAGCAAACAGAAAAGCAGCCAAGGAAGGAUGAAGAGGAGAAACAAAUGAUAAUAUUGACGACUGAAGCUGGGACCUUUCAUAAGCUAAACAAGCACAACCUCAUGGAGGUGUCUGAACUUCAGCAUACAAGCAAGUGUUCCCCAGCCUCUUAGAUUCCGUACUGGGGAUGCUGUAAAGUCCUUGGUGUAGAAUAUGUCUGGACACAGCACUGUAGACCUGUGCUGUGUUACAGACAAAGUGACUAAUGUUACUGGCACCUCAGGUUAUUUUUUAAGCAAGUGAAAUUUCAAAGUCAACACAUUCCCAUUGAUUAUGGAACAAAAUGAUCCCAGGACUUUUGAUUUGGUCCAGGAUUAUGACCAUCUCUCAAGCUACACCAUGGAUGCCAGCCACCUUGAGUGAAUGAAAUGUUUCUGUCCUAGUCCAUGAUGUCCACCUUACUAUAGACCAGAAACAAGAAUCAAAAGACAAUGGGGUGCAGCUGGGGAGAUGACUCACUUGGUAAAGUAUUGGGUGUGCAGGAGAAUGAGACAUUGUUUUAUUGAGUGGAGGAAAACGCCUCCAGUGUCCUGAAUCUCGACACAGUCAAAGUUGUCUAGAUUCUUCCCAGGCUUCUUGGAUACGUGUCAACCAAGAUGUGGUUUUUGUACAUAAGAAGCAAAGAACAAUGAGACUUGGAGCUACACAGUUUGGGCAAGUCCCCCACACAGCCUGCUGGCCAUUGAGCCAUCAAAUAAAGAUUUUCUAUUGA